UUUAGGCAUGAUUUUAGGCCAUACCAAUGUGUAUACCAUAUGCCUACCACAUAAACGUUGAGGCUGCAGAUUUCGGCAUAGUUGCUGCGUAAAAGUGUCAGCCUUUGAAUUGUUUAACUGUCACUCAAUACCUCAAAUUCCAACAACGUAUUCUGUCUCUUCUUAUUAAAAAACGGAAUCCAAGAGUGUAUCAACGAAAAAACAACAUUUGCGAAAGUCAACUCAAAAUGACAGCUACAUCUACCUAAGUGGACGCAAUGUUUUGCCUGAAAUACUAAGAAUCCAGUCUACAUACGACACGAAUCAACGUGAUAUGAGAGGAUUUUUAUUGAAUUACAGCUGAUAUGGGCGCAAAUACUGGUUCAAUGCACUCAUUUUUGUCGAAAAGCAUUUCAACCACGAAGAAUUUGAUGACGCUAAAGAGGCUAUUGUAAGGGAAGUCUACAACACAUGGUACUUGAGCAGCGAACACUCCCAUAAAUUCAGACAAUUGCUUGUGAUUUUGUCCAAUUUAGGGAAUUGAAAAAGCUAUCUUAGAGCAAUAUGGAAUCUGUGGCAAGAAAUAUUGAGGCAAACUGGUUUCCACGAUGCAGUUAACAAACAAUCAUAAAGGCAAAAACUAAUUAUCGUCGAUGCAAUCAAAAACAAAGAAAACAAAAGUGGAAACUUUGGAACCAUCUACUCUGCAGACGGGUUGGCCAGUUUGCAUGUCCUUAACGCUUGAAGGUCGCGGGGAAAAAACUGUCAAUGUGGUAUUGUAGAUGGUUGAAAUGACACGUGUUUCAUCAUUAUCAAGCAGACCCAUUCCCGGCAACGUCACCUGUAGAAGGAAUAAAGGCCAGUUUGUAUUUCAAAUUUCAAUCGAAGGUCAUGGAGAUCAUUACGUAAAACGUGUCAUGCAGUGGUGUAGAGGUUAGGUGAGAACGGGACGUUUUGCAUCAUUAUCGAGAAGGUAAAAUAACCGCAAGGCUUAAGAGGAGGGGUGAGAAAAAUUCGUAUAAACGGCGAGAGAAAAGUUGACAGGGAUCAGUCGAGUGAGUAUCUUAGACACGGUAACAGCUGCACUCCUGCAGUGUACUACCAUUUGCCAUCAGCUGCAUUCUUCAUCGUAUUAUCAUUUAACAAGUGAUAAAUUAUCAGUUCUCAAU
rnacentral:lncRNA from 1 species